GGGAGUCUGCCUAGCUAUUCUGGAGCCUACACGUGGUCACCUGAAGCUGGCUCCAAGGAUGAUUUGAUUCCCUCUUCUCUUCCAGUUCCGAGAUGCCUCCCAGGCUCGAACCCGGACAUGAGAGCCGCAGGCCGGCCCCAACCAUUUGGCGAACCAACUUGGGACUUAGGAAUGGCAGAGGACAUUUGGAAGAAACACUGCUGGUUUGGAGCUCCAUGGAAGAAGAAAAGAAUUAAAGAAAAUUCAUACCGGAGAAGGAAACACAGAGACAAAAAAUGGAGCAGACUGAAGGAAAGGCCAUCCAGAGACUGUCCCACCUUGUGAUUCUUCCCAUCUGCAGACACCAAACCCUGACACUAUUGCUGAUACCAAGACGUACUCCCAGACAGGAGCCUAGUAUGGCUGUCCUCGGAGAGGCUCUGCCAGCAUCUGACUAAGAUAGAUGCAGGUACUCACAGCUAACCAUUGGACUGAACCCAGCGACCCCAAUGGAUGAGUUAGGGAAGGACUGAAGGAGCCGAAGGGGCUUACAAUCCUAUAGGAAGAACAACAAUAUCAACUAAACUAAACGGAACCUCCAGAGCUCACGGGACAAAACCACAAUCAAAGAGUACACAUGGAGGGACCCAUGGCUCCAUCUGCAUAUGCAGCAGAAAGUUGUCUUAUCUAGCUUCAAUGGGAGGGGAGACUCUUGGUCUUAUGAAGGCUUGUUGCCCUAGCAUAGGGGAAUGCUAGAGGGGUGAGGUGGGAGUGGGUGGGUAGGUUGGGGAACACACUCAUAGAGGCAGGGGGUGGGAUGAGGUAGUUUGCAGAGGGAAGACUGGGGACUAGGGACAACAUUUGAAAUGUAAAUAAAUAAAGUAACCAAUUAAU
rnacentral:lncRNA from 1 species